UAGUCCACGCCGUAAACGAUGAGAACUAGAUGUCGGGAGGGUUGCCUUUCGGUGUCGCAGCUAACGCGUUAAGUUCUCCGCCUGGGGAGUACGCCGGCAACGGUAAAACUCAAAGGAAUUGACGGGGACCCGCACAAGCGGUGGAGCAUGUGGUUUAAUUCGAUGCAACGCGAAGAACCUUACCUGGGCUUGACAUCCCGAUCGUACCUUUAUGAAAAUAGAGGGUCAGCUAGGCUGGAUCGGUGACAGGUGCUGCAUGGCCGUCGUCAGCUCGUGCCGUGAGGUGUUGGGUUAAGUCCCGCAACGAGCGCAACCCUUAUCCUUAGUUGCCAUCAGAGAGUGAUCUGCUGGGCACUCUAGGGAGACUGCCCGUGACAAGCGGGAGGAAGGUGGGGGAUGACGUCAGGUCAGUAUGGGUCCUUAUGCCCAGGGGCUGCACACGUGCUACAAUGGUCGGUAC
rnacentral:rRNA from 1 species